rnacentral:lncRNA from 1 species
CUGUGGCUUAGCUGGUAUCCAAGUUACAGGAACAAAGUCCUUUUAAUCUCCCCAUCUCCUCUUCUCAAGCAGAAGGAAGAAGUCUUUCCUGGAGCUGCAAGCUGCAUGUCCUGGGGUUGGAAGAGGAGUGAUGCAAGUACUACAUUGGCUGCUCCAGCUGGCUGGUAUCUUAAAAAAAAGGGAAAACAUCAAAGGCAAACUCAUGUGACAACCUCCUUGGAACAGAAAUUUGCCCCAAAUUUUGAAUUUACUAUCUUUCCAUUUAAGUUUCAGAAAUUAAAAAAGAG